AAAAAAAGUCUCUUAUAUUCUUCCCGUUAAACAACGUUACUGAAAUCAUUAAAAAUAAAAGCAGAAUAGUUUACUUUUAUUAAUCAUUUUAAUAUGUUUGUCUGGCUCUCUUCACACUGUACGUGCUUCAUAUUUUAUAUUUAUGUGCACAUUUAUUGACUUUUAAUGAUGAUUUAUUGCAAUUAUCAGACCGCUAUUACACCAUUGCGCAAAUGAUAAUUCCAUGUAACUGUGUACGAUUGUGCUAGCUCAGGUCAAUCUAUUAUUAUACCCAAUCUGCAAAAGACAGCCGAACGGGCUAACAUUACCAAUUUAUACUAUCCAGUGCAAGAGUUCACGCGAGUUUAACGCAGUUUUACUGCCUUAUAAUCAGAAAUUCUAUCGGAAAUGUCUUUUAAAAUAUUUAUCCUAAUUUUAAAAGCACUUUUUACUAACAUUCAGGCGAUAUUUCAACAAUUUAUAAAUUUAGCCCUCCACCGUGACCAUUGCUGUUGUUGAUGUUGGUGCUUUUGGCAGAAUAUUGUUGUUGUUUGGCUGUCACACCGAAAAAUACGCGUAAACAAAACCAGAAGUGUUAAAAAUCACUGAAAUGUAUUUCAGUGUUUUUUCAAGCGGUUUUCGAUUAAUUGUGUUUUCCGCAAAGAACACAUCAUGCAAAAGUCUUUCACGAAGCGAAUUCGAUACAACUCUCAUCUGUAUCGCAAUUGUGAUAAUCUAGAAUGUGAUGACGCAAUUGCAAGUGGAAGUGCUCAUGGUACACAAGACGAACAAAUCGUUGAUAAUAAUGUAUCUUUCGAUGAAGAACUAGGCGAUAAUCAUUUAUCGCAGGAUGCUUCAGGAAAUGAAAUAGCAGAAACAACGGAAAGCGAUGAAAAUGGAACCGACGAUAAUCAUAAUGAUGACGACGAUGUAGUCGAUUGUCUCGUUGAAAGUUCAGACGAAGAGCAGGAAUCGGAACAAUGCAACGAAGUAUUUUCGGUGAGAGAUGCUUCACGUCGUUGGGCCAUAUCAAAAAACCAAACCUACGAAUCAAUCGAGGAAGUUAUGGACAUAAUACGGAAAGUAAGUAACUGCAAGUUGCCGAAAGAUGCCAGAACCCUGCUGAAGACCGACUGCAACCCUUUAACGGAAAUAGUAACGGUACAGGGAGGACAAUAUUGGUAUCAUGGUGUUCAAAAAUGUUUACUAAACGAAUUAAGGUGUUGCCAAUUAUAACGCUCGACACGGCUGUUUGUAGUGUACAACUGUUGGAAAAAGUAUACGCAGAAGAGUUGCGUUUCCGGAUCGAAUUGCUCCAAGUCGUGCCACCUGUUUGCCUAAAAUAUGCAUUAAAUACGAAAACAUUAUCGUUGCAGUAGUGCGGUAUUACAAAACAACUUCGCACCUUUUGCUGACAUCUGCUGAACAGCAACAGAAGUGCUUUGGGUGG